AUGGCCGCCGGAGAUGCCACCCACGCGCCGCCGGCCGCGGAGGCGCAGUCUCUGGUGGAGUCAUUCUGCGCCGUCACCUCGGCGACCCCCGACGAGGCGACCUUCUUCCUGGAGGGCCACAACUGGGCCCUCGAGGCCGUCGUUCGCUCCUUCUACGACAACACGGAAGUAUGGGCCCGAUCCAGCACCCCAGCCCCCGCCAGCCGGUUCGCCUCCGUGCUCCUCACCACGCGCUACGGCACCAUCGACGACCUCCUCCAAACCGGCGAGCUCGCGCUAUGUUCAGUUGUGCUCAUGUACGGGCUCAUCAUAAUCCUGAGCAGUGCCGCCAAGAUCACUCACCAAGCGCAGGCCUUGACGGGCCAGACCACCAAGUGGCACGCCUGCUGCACCAUCGAGCCGGUCCCGGACGACGAGAUUGAUCCAGGAUCCAACCAGAACUCCAUGCUGGAAGAGUACCCAGAGGACGAGAGCGACUGCGAGUCCAGCGAGGAGACCGGAGGAGGACAUGCUAGAGAACACCAAGUUCCUCCAGCCUCACACGCACGUGAUCUCCUUCCAGAAGAGGCAGACACUAGAGUACCCGGAGUGCGCCGCUUGUUACUUCGAAUCGCUAGGUUUCCCGAAUCAUCGGCAAGUGACGUACCUGGAGAACAACAAGGCAGGCAUCAUCAUGUUCGGGUUCACGCUGGACCGGUCGUACCUCCACACGAUAUUCAUGCUCGAGUGGACGCUCUUCCUGUGGCUGCUGGGGAAAACGGUCGGUUUCUCGUUAACACCAAGGAAUGUACGCACCAAGGUUCCAUGUUUUUUUGCUGUUGUGCCCCGUUUGAUCCUUGUGAAAAGAGAAGGAAUUGGGUUUUUUGUGUGUGCGCGGGUGUGCACGUGAGUGGUGUGCACUUGUAUGAUAGCAGCGAUUUUGUGUGA
rnacentral:rRNA from 1 species